AUUGAACGCUGGCGGCAGGCCUAACACAUGCAAGUCGAACGAGUGGCGGACGGGUGAGUAAUGUCUGGGAAACUGCCUGAUGGAGGGGGAUAACUACUGGAAACGGUUGCUAAUACUGCAUACCAUCAGAUGUGCCCAGAUGGGAUUAGCUUGUUGGUGGGGUAACGGCUCACCAAGGCGACGAUCCCUAGCUGGUCUGAGAGGAUGACCAGCCACUCUGUACAUGAGAUACGGUCCAGACGCCUACGGGAGGCAGCAGUUGGGAAUAUUGCACAAUGGGCGCAAGCCUGAUGCAGUCAGGCCGAGUGUAUGAAGAAGGCCUUCGGGUUGUAAAGUACUUUCAGCGGGGAGGCGUUACCCGCAGAGGAAGCACCGGGUAACUCAGUGCCAGCAGCCGCGGUAAUAC
rnacentral:rRNA from 1 species